rnacentral:rRNA from 1 species
UACAGAGGUCCCGAGCGUUUGUUCGGAUUCAUUGGGCGUAAAGGGUGCGUAGGCGGCGGGGAAAGUCUGAUGUGAAAUCCUGGGGCUCAACCCUGGAACUGCAUUGGAUACUUCCUUGCUAGAGUACUGGAGAGGAAACUGGAAUUUACGGUGUAGCAGUGAAAUGCGUAGAGAUCGUAAGGAAGACCAGUGGCGAAGGCGAGUUUCGUGGACAGUUACUGACGUGAGGCACGAAGGCCAGGGGGAGCAAACGGGG